AGAGCUUGAUCUACAAUUAAUUACAUGGCAAAAGUGGGGGAGGUAUAGUUAGGAAGAGUAAUUUUUCAUUUGGAAGGCCACAGUUGGAAUGGUCACUAUUUAAAAUUAAGGAAGACAGUCUAGGGAGAAAAAAGAAUAAUGAAUCUUUUAAAUCGUUUCGUGAAAUCUUGGAAACUUUAAAUAUUAGGAAGGUUUUCCUGUCCCAUUUGUUUAAGUAAUAAAGUGUGAAGAAAUGUUAAAUCUGAUUAGCUACGCCUGUCUAGCAUUAAUCAACAGUCUGAAAGGAAAGAAAAAAAAUAUUCAAAACUUCAAUCACUGUUCUUUCCUGUGUAUAAUCAAUUAAGAAAAAUAUUCUCCAAGGCUGUUCAGAAAACAGUGGUGUUCAGGUACUCUGAAAAAUCACUCAGGGACCCAUGGGCAGUGACCAAGACAAAUGCAUUUUCUGAGUAUUGUCAGAAGCUGUUUUCUCCUCACAAUGUAAGUUCAGAUGCUUCUUGGCUGUUUGUGAACCGCCUGGUGUUCACAGACCAAUGCGGGGAUUCAGAAAGCUGUUUCCAUGGUGACGAGACUUUCCUCCCGCAACCACCCCUCCCCCACCCCACGUUUCUCCACUGUCAGGAGUUUGCGCAGGAUUCCCGGGAAAGCCAGGGCCGGAUAUACAGCGAGCAUGUUGUGGUUUUUCCAUGCGCAGAAAAAGCUUUGUCGAUUCCUGCCCUAGAGGAUGUGGAGUCAAGAUCUGCUAAGGAAGACGGCAAAAUAUGGAACUGCUGGAAGUUUUUUCUUCCCAAUUUCCCCGGAGUGUCAUGGGCUCAAACAUGUAGGAAGACAGGAACUGACAUUACUCUGGUUGCUGUGGAGUGAUUUUGGUGAACAAAUGUGAAAGGAGGCACACCGGGGUGGCUCAGUCUGUUAAGCAUCUGCCUUUGGCUCAGGUCAUGCUUCCAGGGUCCUGAGGUCCUGCUUCUCCCUCUCCCCCCAGCUUGUUCUCUCUCUCACUCACUCUCCCUUUCUUAAAUAAAUAAAAAUUUUUAAAAAAUAUGAAAGGAGAU
rnacentral:lncRNA from 1 species